AAGCUGCACCUAGAUGGUUUUGUCUGUGGAGGAGGAGGAGUUAUAUUUCUGCCUAUAUUUCUAUAACUUUAAGGGAUGAAGUGGAAGCUCAGUGUGGUUUGGUGUUAGCAACCAAAUAAGGAUCUACCAGGCUUAAGGCAAGGAGUAAGCAGUACUUUAUGCAACAGAGGAGUGAGAGGGUGAAUAGGAUCGUGUCUUGGAUCUUGUUAGUCUGUAAAAUAAAUGCGGUGGUAUUUAUUACUGUUUAUGGAAACUUCUCAGAGCUCUGCCAUUAGGAGAAAAGGCGUUCUCUGUUCUGAGCUGUUUUUUUCCCAGCCUACCUGGAAAGGAUGUAUUGGGGUAGGCUGUAACAACUGAAGUGCAACCUGCUGAAUGUUUCUUCUGGAACCAUCUGACCAGCUCUGUGUAAGCUGCACAGUAUGAGCUCAGAAGAGGUUGGUGCUCAGGGUGGAGAGGGUGCAAAGAUGUGAGAUGUCAGAGAGCACAAAGCUGGCUUACAGCAGAAGAAUGGUGCUGCUUUCACUUCAAAGCCCUGUGCUGAUUAUCUUCAGGACUGGAUGUGGAGCUGGGCUGGAUGCAGAGGACCUGGCUGUGUCCUGUCCUGAGCACGCAGGCGCUAUGCCAUGCACCACUCAGCCUUCUUUGAGCACCAGCAAGGGCUGAGAUGAGUAACUUCCCCUUCCAUCUGGGCUAGGCCUGGGGAAACACAAGACCGGAGAUUGCUUCAGAAGGAGGAGCAAGGUGAUCUGAAAACAAGACAAACUGGAAUGGUGUCAGAACGACCCACCUGAUGGCACAGCAGGGCUGCAGGGAGGGCAAAUCAGGGCCUGGUUGGCCCCAUUCUGAGGGGUGAAGGGAAGAAGACAGAAGGGGUUGGUAUCAAGGACGGUGCCUGCAGCUGUCCUGCACAGGCAGGGAAGAUACACGUAGAUGUAUUCUCAGAAGCUAGUUUAAAGCACAAUUUCUGAUAGUAUACUGUUCUUUCAUUUUAUGAGUUCAAAAUAUUUUAAAUCUUGUCUCAAAAUUGAAGCGUAACUUCCUCUAUAAACUCCCGUUCUAUGUCAAGGAAGAACCAGGGCUUUUAGUAAGUCGAAGUGUUGAUGUUCUGAUCUUUAUUCUUUGUUCGACUUUACCAUCAACAGCGAAAGUGAUAAAGUUCGGCACAAUCUCUCCCUUAUGUUAAAGAUUUUCUACAAAAAGAGAUGUUAGAUAAACUAAGCCCUUACUUUUGAGUUUAACU
rnacentral:lncRNA from 7 species